GGAGAGGUGGCAGAGUGGCCGAUUGCACCGGUCUUGAAAACCGGCGUACCGCAAGGUACCGGGAGUUCGAAUCUCCCCCUCUCCG
rnacentral:tRNA from 1 species